rnacentral:tRNA from 1 species
GUGACCAUAACUCAGUUGGUGAGAGGGCCAGAGUACCAUUGUCGACGUUGUGGGUUUAAGUCCCGCUGGCCGUC